CUUCGGAUCUAGUGGCGGACGGGUUAGUAACGCGUGGGAACGUACCCUUCACUACGGAAUAGUCCCGGGAAACUGGGUUUAAUACCGUAUACGCCCUUCGGGGGAAAGAAUUUCGGUGAGGGAUCGGCCCGCGUUAGAUUAGUUAGUUGGUGGGGUAAUGGCCUACCAAGACUACGAUCUAUAGCUGGUUUGAGAGGAUGAUCAGCAACACUGGGACUGAGACACGGCCCAGACUCCUACGGGAGGCAGCAGUGGGGAAUCUUAGACAAUGGGGGCAACCCUGAUCUAGCGAUGCCGCGUGAGUGAUGAAGGCCUUAGGGUCGUAAAGCUCUUUCGCCUGUGAUGAUAAUGACAGUAGCAGGUAAAGAAACCCCGGCUAACUCCGUGCCAGCAGCCGCGGUAAUACGGAGGGGGUUAGCGUUGUUCGGAAUUACUGGGCGUAAAGCGCACGUAGGCGGAUUAGUCAGUCAGAGGUGAAAUCCCAGGGCUCAACCCUGGAACUGCCUUUGAUACUGCUAGUCUUGAGUUCGAGAGAGGUAAGUGGAAUUCCGAGUGUAGAGGUGAAAUUCGUAGAUAUUCGGAGGAACACCAGUGGCGAAGGCGGCUUACUGGCUCGAUACUGACGCUGAGGUGCGAAAGUGUGGGGAGCAAACAGGAUUAGAUACCCUGGUAGUCCACACCGUANACGAUGAAUGCCAGUCGUCGGGUAGCAUGCUAUUCGGUGACACACCUAACGGAUUAAGCAUUCCGCCUGGAGAGUACGGUCGC
rnacentral:rRNA from 1 species